rnacentral:pre_miRNA from 1 species
GAGACACCCUUCUGGGGCAAGACUUGCUUCAGUGGGGCUUUGGUGCUCACUGAGUCUGCCCCCUGCAUGUGUCCCU